UACGUAGGGAGCUAGCGUUGUCCGGAAUCAUUGGGCGUAAAGAGCGUGUAGGCGGCCAUACAGGUCAGCUGUGAAAACUCGAGGCUCAACCUCGAGACGUCGGUUGAAACCGUAUGGCUAGAGUCCGGAAGAGGAGAGUGGAAUUCCCGGUGUAGCGGUGAAAUGCGCAGAUAUCGGGAAGAACACCUAUGGCGAAGGCAGCUCUCUGGGACGGUACUGACGCUGAGACGCGAAAGCGUGGGGAGCAAACAGG
rnacentral:rRNA from 1 species